UUGAACGCUGGCGGCAGGCCUAACACAUGCAAGUCGAGCGGAUGAAGGGAGCUUGCUCCUGGAUUCAGCGGCGGACGGGUGAGUAAUGACUAGGAAUCUGCCUGGUAGUGGGGGAUAACGUCCGGAAACGGGCGCUAAUACCGCAUACGUCCUGAGGGAGAAAGUGGGGGAUCUUCGGACCUCACGCUAUCAGAUGAGCCUAGGUCGGAUUAGCUAGUUGGUGGGGUAAAGGCCUACCAAGGCGACGAUCCGUAACUGGUCUGAUAGGAUGAUCAGUCACACUGGAACGGAGACACGGUCCAGACUCCUACGGGAGGCAGCAGUGGGGAAUAUUGGACAAUGGGCGAAAGCCUGAUCCAGCCAUGCCGCGUGUGUGAAGAAGGUCUUCGGAUUGUAAAGCACUUUAAGUUGGGAGGAAGGGCAGUAAGUUAAUACCUUGCUGUUUUGACGUUACCAACAGAAUAAGCACCGGCUAACUUCGUG
rnacentral:rRNA from 1 species